rnacentral:lncRNA from 1 species
UUCUACUCACCAACCAAACUUGAGAAAAUAAAUCAAAAAUCAACUUGGUUUCCAAGAAAACAUUUUCCUUCAUACCAAACACACCCUGUAAGUAGGAGAUAUUCCAAGUCUUCACACUACCUCCAACAUUCAUAGUGCACAAACAGACACUUUAACUAUCCAACUUUUAAAUAAAUAAACACGUGAUUGUUGUAGCCAAAGAGCGUGAAAU